rnacentral:lncRNA from 1 species
UGCCAAUAAGCAUAGAGCUUCAUACUGUACAAACAUGGAAUGUGCAAAAAUUUAGAUUUUGUUUAAAGUGCUCUUAAUUGAUUUGUUAUACCAUAAAAAAACAUGUUAGAGAAAAAUUUUUUUUUCGAUCACAUCAUUACAUCUCGUAUCUAAGGAAAAUGUUUCCUUAGUUACGAGUCCAAAAAGCGUACCAAAAUUAGACAAAAAUCAACACAUUUGCAGGCUACCUAGAGCAAAAGUGUGACUAGGAGUGUGUUUGUUGUUAAAAGUACAAAGUAAGGUUACCACUGCAAAUCAUAUAAAACAUUUUUAUCAGUGAUGAUGCUUUUGUAAUACGUUGCUAUGGCAACAGGAAAAUGCAAAG